GCCUUCGUGGUGUAGUGGUUCUGCAUGCUGGGCCGAUACUCCAGAGGUCCACGGUUCGAUUCCCUACGAAGGCG
rnacentral:tRNA from 1 species